GGGCUUUUAGCUCAGUUGGUCAGAGCACCCCGCUCAUAACGGGAUGGUCCUCGGUUCAAGCCCGAGAGAGCCCACCA
rnacentral:tRNA from 1 species